rnacentral:tRNA from 2 species
GGGCUCGUAGCUCAGUUGGUUAGAGCACUACUCUGAUAAGGUAGGGGUCGAUGGUUCAAGUCCAUCCGGGCCCACCA